rnacentral:rRNA from 1 species
UACGUAGGGGGCGAGCGUUACCCGGAUUUACUGGGCGUAAAGCGCGUGUAGGCGGCUGGUCAAGCGUGGUGUGAAAUCUCCGGGCUCAACCCGGAAACUGCAUUGCGAACUGACCUAGCUGGAGUGCAGGAGAGGGCAGCGGAAUUCCCGGUGUAGCGGUGAAAUGCGCAGAUAUCAGGAGGAACACCGAUGGCGAAGGCCAGCCCCCUGGGCUAACACUGACGCUCAUGGCA